rnacentral:rRNA from 1 species
CGUCUUAGGAUUGUAAAACACCUUCAGCAAGGGAAAAAAUUAUAUAAAUAAUACUUAUAUUAACUGAUAUUACCUGCAAAAGAAGUACCGGCUAACUCCGUGCCAGCAGCCGCGGUAAUACGGAGGGUACAAGCGUUAAUCGGAAUUAUUGGGCGUAAAGAGUACGUAGGUGGUAUAUUAAGUCAGAUGUGAAAUACUUAAGCUUAACUUAAGAACUGCAUUUGAAACUAAUAAACUAGAGUUUUAUGGAGGGGAGUAGAAUUCCAAGUGUAGCGGUGAAAUGCGUAGAUAUUUGGAGGAAUACCAGAGGCGAAGGCGACUCCCUGGGUAAUAACUGACACUGAGGCACGAAAGCUUGGGGAGCAAACAGGAUUAGAUACCCUGGUAGUCCAUGCUGUAAACGAUGUCAAUUUGAAGAUUGUAAUAUUAUUAUUUUUUAUAAUUUUCGUAGCUAACGCAUUAAAUUGACCGCUGGGGAUUACGACCGCAAGGGUUAAAACUCAAAUGACAUUUGACGGGGGACCCGCACAAAGCGGUGGGAAGCAUGUGGUUUAAAUUCGAUACAACGGCGAAAAAACCUUACCUACUCUUGAACA